rnacentral:ncRNA from 2 species
ACUUAAUAGUUCUUUUUAGGUGCCUAAUGUAGAUUAUGUUAUUUAUAUUAGGGUAAAAGGGAAAGUGGUAAAAUCCACUGCAGCCCCCGCUACUGUGAAGGUAGACGAAUCUUGUUAACCACUGACUAUGAUUAUGCUGACUACAAAGUUGUGACUAUAAAGUCGGGAAGGUAAGAGGAGAAUGAAACCUGAGCCAGGAAACCUGCCUAAAAAGUGUGUUUUGU